rnacentral:rRNA from 1 species
UACGGAGGGUGCGAGCGUUACCCGGAAUCACUGGGCGUAAAGGGCGUGUAGGCGGGAUGUUAAGUCUGACUUUAAAGGCUGUGGCUCAACCACAGAAAUGGGCUGGAUACUGGCAUUCUAGACAACUGGAGAGGCGAUUGGAAUUACUGGUGUAGCGGUGGAAUGCGUAGAUACCAGUAGGAACGUCAAUGGCGAAGGCAGGUCGCUGGACAGUUUGUGACGCUGAGGCGCGAAAGUGUGGGGAGCAAACCGG